rnacentral:antisense_RNA from 1 species
UUGUAUGGUGGGCAUGCGUGGGGCUCAUUCGUGAGCGCCGGGUUACCCAAUUUGACCGGUCUACCAACCCGCGCAUGGCCGCCACCCGC